UGGUUAUAACAGCAAACAUGCAAAAUAACCUACACAUACAUCCAUCUGAUCCAAGUCAAUACUUAGAUCGAUCAAUGGGGGAUCAUGUUCCAAAAAAUCGGUGAAAUGCCACGGGAAGAUUGGCAACGUCGGUGGCAUCUUUCCAUCCAA
ensembl:ncRNA F19D8.8 ncRNA